rnacentral:lncRNA from 1 species
GUUUUUCCAGUCAAGGUCUUGACAAAAAUCUGCAUUCCUCCACGAAGCCUCAAAACAAGAUGAAGGGUUGAUUCCUUUUGUAUGUUGUAAUCAGCCAAGGUCCUCCCGUCCUCAAGCUGCUUCCCAGCGAAGAUCAAUCGUUGUUGGUCUGGUGGGAUCCCUUCCUUAUCUUGGAUCUUGGCCUUAACGUUAUCAAUCGUGUCCGAGCUCUCGACCUCCAGGGUUAUAGUCUUUCCUGUCAAGGUUUUGACAAAGAUUUGCAUGCCUCCACGGAGCCUGAGGACAAGGUGGAGAGUCGACUCCUUUUGGAUAUUAUAAUCAGCCAAAGUACGGCCGUCCUCCAGCUGUUUCCCGGCGAAGAUGAGCCGCUGUUGGUCGGGAGGGAUGCCUUCUUUGUCCUGGAUUUUGGCCUUGACGUUGUCGAUCGUGUCGGAACUCUCGACUUCGAGGGUGAUGGUUUUGCCGGUCAAAGUUUUGACAAAGAUUUGCAUACCGCCACGAAGACGGAGGACCAGGUGGAGAGUUGACUCCUUCUGGAUGUUAUAAUCCGCCAAGGUACGACCGUCUUCGAGCUGUUUCCCGGCGAAGAUGAGCCUUUGCUGGUCGGGUGGGAUCCCUUCCUUGUCUUGGAUCUUGGCCUUGACGUUGUCGAUCGUGUCGGAACUCUCCACUUCGAGGGUGAUGGUUUUACCGGUCAAGGUUUUGACGAAGAUCUGCAUACCGCCACGAAGACGGAGGACCAGGUGGAGAGUCGACUCCUUCUGGAUGUUGUAAUCCGCCAAGGUACGGCCGUCUUCGAGCUGUUUGCCACGCGAAGAUGAGCCUUUGCUGGUCGGGUGGGAUCCCUUCCUUGUCUUGGAUCUUGGCCUUAACGUUGUCGAUGGUGUCGGAACUCUCGACCUCGAGA